rnacentral:rRNA from 1 species
UACAGAGGUCUCAAGCGUUGUUCGGAUUCAUUGGGCGUAAAGGGUGCGUAGGUGGCGAGGUUAGUCAGGUGUGAAAUCUCUGAGCUUAACUCAGAACGGCCAAGUGAUACUGCAGUGCUAGAGUGUGGAAGGGGCAAUCGGAAUUCUUGGUGUAGCGGUGAAAUGCGUAGAUAUCAAGAGGAACACCUGAGGUGAAGACGGGUUGCUGGGCCAACACUGACGCUGAUGCGCGAAAGCCAGGGGAGCAAACGGG